GUCCACGCCGUAAACGAUGGAUACUAGCUGUUGGGAGCGAUCUCAGUGGCUAAGCGAAAGUGAUAAGUAUCCCACCUGGGUAGUACGUUCGCAAGAAUGAAACUCAAAGGAAUUGACGGGGGCCCGCACAAGCGGUGGAGCAUGUGGUUUAAUUCUAUGAUACGCGAGGAACCUUACCAAGGCUUAAAUGUAGAUUGACCGGUUUGGAAACAGACUUUUCGCAAGACAAUUUACAAGGUGCUGCAUGGUUGUCGU
rnacentral:rRNA from 1 species